rnacentral:ncRNA from 1 species
GCAACUCUGAAAAGCAGGCUCAUCAGCAGCCUCGCCCACGGUGCAAGCCACUUCGGUGGUGAAGCUCUCAGGCUCAUGACAGAGGGGGAGGC